CUGUGGCUAUAAAAGCUCGUCCCUUUCUUUCCUUUCCUAGACUUGGGAAGGAGAGUGAGAGAGUGAGAGGAUGUGAGAGCAUAGGAGUGAGAAUGAGAUCGGGUAUAGGUCGCCGCACCAGACCAUUCCCCUCCGAACCAUAUUGUGCAAGCUAUCACGCAUCUUCCCAAGCCGGAUAACCCUUCGACUAGUUGGGUAAGAGGUCAUCUCGCCAUGCACGUAUAUUGUUUCCCCAAUUUAUAGUAAUUUGAAGCUAUUGGGGUUAUCAAUCAUUCUCUUCCACACAAAUCUUAGGAUUUUGGUGCUAGGGUUUGAGGCCCUUUUUAAAUAAUUAGUGGUGGUCUAUUCUCAUCCAGAAGUCGUAUUAGAGCACGAACUCGUGUGAGCUUUGAAUUUGCGCUGAGCUUGGGUUUUGCUUGUUGAAUCGAGUUGGUAAUUUGUUCAAAUUGAGAUAAGUAAACCCUUGUUGAAAGUUUAAUUAUGUUAAAAUCUAAGCUAUUAAUGAUGAUUUUGCCAAUGAAUUAGGGUUUGGAGUUUUAUCCCCAAAUUCUUUAUGCCUACAUUGCAUCGGAAUUGAGAGAUUUCGAUUCUAAGGUACAUGAAGUCGUGGAGCUCAGGAGAUCCGGGUAGAGCUCGAUGGAGAGAGAUAAAUGAGCGCAGUGCCAGCCUGACCGAGCUUCAAGAGCUCGUGCUGAUACUCUAGUUUUUCUUUCCUUUAUUUGCGUAUGUCUUGUAUGUUGGGAUUGCUAUGGUUUGUGGUGGUCUUCAUGGGCAUGCCUUUAGAUUUAUGUACUUUCUGGAUAUUGCCCAGCUAUUUUUUACCUCAGUUAUCCCUACAUUUCCUCUGA